AUUAUCACUAAUCAAGCACGGCUUGCUGUUGGACCUCUUGUCGGUAAAAGACAGGCCCCAAAGAUAAUGACGGUGUUAUUAGAACCCUAGAUGCAACGAGCUUUAACCAGCACGCAUAUUAGUGGCCUUUUAACCCGGUCUUGUUAUAACCCAUUUUAAAGGUUGACCUCGGAUCAGGUAGGAAUACCCGCUGAACUUAA
rnacentral:misc_RNA from 1 species